UACAGGGGGCUCGAGCGUUAGUCGGAAUCACUGGGCUUAAAGGGUGCGUAGGUGGCUCGCCAAGUGCUUUGUGAAAUCCCACAGCUCAACUGUGGAACAGCAGGGCAAACUGGCGGGCUUGAGGCAGGUAGGGGCCGGAAGAACAGUUGGUGGAGCGGUGAAAUGCGUAGAUAUCAACUGGAAUGCCGAUGGGGAAGCCGUCCGGCUGGGCCUGUCCUGACACUGAGGCACGAAAGCCAGGGGAGCAAACGGG
rnacentral:rRNA from 1 species